rnacentral:lncRNA from 1 species
UUCUGUAUUAAUAAUGAAGUUUUAAAAAUUUGAAGAAACCUUUCUACCCAUAAAAAAACAGAAAAAAAACUAAAUUCAUCACCACUUACUAUUUAUAUUUCUCUUUAUUCAGCCUCUAUUCAUAUCUAGAAGCAACUCUGUUCUCAAAAGUGAUAUAUUAUUUUCCCAAAUCGGUGACUUACCUGAAGAUGUUUUCACAAAUUUUUGACUUACCUGAAACUCUAGCUGGUAGAUGAAGAAACUGUUUUUCCCGAUAUGAUCUUUGCCGACGGAGAAGAUCUCUUUUUUUUUUUGUUAUAAAGCAUCUUCUUUGAUCUUUUUCAUUCUAAUAUUUUUAUUCCAAUUAUUUUUUUGGAUUUUUUGAAUGGUAUGAAUCUCUGUUUGUUAUAGGGAAUCAUAUCAGAUUUCCACCGGCUCUGUUUGUUUCUCUUGAACAUAUUAAUAACUGACUGUGCUUGUGCAGAGAAGAUGAACGGAAGUUGCGUGAUGAUCCAUGUUAUUGUCCUCAAUUUUUUUUCUGGUAUUUAUGUUUUUGUUUCCCUUGUUUGAUUAGUUUGAGUUAUGUGUUUGUAAUGGUGUUUAUUUUUUGUGAUGAUGAUGGUAAGCUCAUUUGUUUUCUGGGAAUUUUUCUUAUGGUGAUAUAUCCAAAUCAUGGUUUGUUUGAUCGUUUCUUUUCUUUGUAACUGGAUAGAAUGGUCACUACACCCUCAACAAAUACCCACAUUUGCAAAUACUUUUGAAAUCUGCACGAAUACCUAAUUACCAUAUAUAUUUUGUAUAUUCACCUAAAUGAGCCAUAAAAUAAACUAUAAAUACAUUAUAGUAAAAUGUACUUUGUAUCUUAUUCUUGUAUAUCACCUUUUAAGAUUUGCGAUUUUGUUUGAACGAUGACGUAAGGCAAAAAAUAUCAACGUUGUGUAUGUACAGCAUAUUCUUAAGUAUAUCCAACUACACCCAAG